GUGGGAAGGAGUUGAGAUACCAGACGCUAUGGAGGAGGUUCAUGAGCUGCACAGCCAGUACAACAGCCCCAUCUGUCUACCCCUUGGUCCCUGGCUGUGGUGGCACAUCUGGAUCCAUGGUAACCCUAGGAUGCCUGGCCAAAGGCUAUUUCCCUGAGCCGGUGACCAUAACCUGGAACUCUGGAUCCCUGUACAGCAGCGUGCACAACGUUCCAGCUGUUCUGCAUUCUGGGUUCUACUCCAGCAGCAGCUUGGUGACUGUGUCCUCCAGCACCUGGCCCAGCCAGACCAUCACCUGCAACGUGGUCCACCCGGCCAGCAACACCAAUUUGAGGAAGACAAUUGGUGAGGGAGAUUGGGGUUAACUGGGGUUCACUUCUUGCAUUGGAGGUGGACCCUCCGUCUUCAUCUUCCCCCCAAAGCCCAAGGAUGUGCUCAUGGUCUCCCUGGCCCCCAAGAUCACAUGUGUGGUGGUGGACGUGAGCGAGGAGGAUCCAAAUGUCCAGUUCAACUGGUUCGUGAACAAUGAAGAAGUGCACACAGCUCAGACGCAGACCCAUGAGGAGAAGCACAACAGCACCUUGCGUGUGGUCAGUGUCCUCCCCAUCCAGCACCAGGACUGGAUGAGUGGCAAGGAGUUCAAAUGCAAGGUCAACAACAAAGCCCUUCCAGGCCCCAUCGAGAGAACCAUCUCAAAACCCAAAGGGCAAGUCCGGGUGCCUCAAGUGUAUGCCAUGCCUCCACCUCGAGAGCAAAUGUCCAAGAAGAAGGUUAGUCUGACCUGCAUGAUCACAGACUUCUUCCCCGAAGCCAUCAGUGUGGAGUGGGAGAGAAACGGAGAGCUGGAACAGAGCUACAAGAAUACCCCACCCAUUCUGGACUCAGAUGGGUCCUACUUCCUGUACAGCAAACUCACUGUGGACACCAACAGUUGGUUGCGAGGAGACAUGUUUGCCUGCUCUGUGGUGCACGAGGCUCUGCACAACCACCACACACAGAAGACCCUCUCCCACUCCCUGGAGCUAGAACUGGAUGACAACUGUGCUGAGGCCCAGGGCGGGGAGCUGGACGGUCUGUGGACGACCAUCACCAUCUUCAUCACCCUCUUCCUGCUCAGCGUGUGCUACAGCGCCACUGUCACACUCUACAAGGUGAAGUGGAUCGUCUCCUCGGUGGUAGAGGUGAAGCAGACCAUUGCCCCUGACUACAGAAACAUGAUUGGGCAGGGUGCCUAG